rnacentral:rRNA from 1 species
CGCGUAGGCGGCCAUUCAAGUCGGAGGUGAAAGCCCAGGGCUCAACCCUGGAAUUGCCUUCGAUACUGUUUGGCUGGAGACCGGAAGAGGUAAGUGGAACUGCGAGUGUAGAGGUGAAAUUCGUAGAUAUUCGCAAGAACACCAGUGGCGAAGGCGGCUUACUGGUCCGGUUCUGACGCUGAGGCGCGAAAGCGUGGGGAGCAAAC